CCUGGUGCUCAUCCCACUGCUGGGAAUACAUUCUGUCCUGAGAACUGCCAGAGCCCAGUCAGUGACCCAGCCUGACAUCCACAUUACUGUCUCUGAAGGAGCCUCACUGGAGCUGAGAUGUAACUAUUCCUAUGGGGCAACACCUUCUCUCUUCUGGAUGGAAAGAACUGUUUAAGAAGUUUUUAUAUUUCUCGUUUGCUUGAAGUCUUGGAGGAUAGCAAGUAGUCUGGAGAAAAAGGAGAAGGAGAAUGAAUCUUUCCAGCUGCUACUUGGCUCACACUAUAAUGUAUUAGAGGCACAUUGUCUUCUACCUUUGGUAAGACGGCUAACUUCAGGCAACUCACUGUUAUCAGCUCAGCCACAUUGCCCAAAGGGACUGUGACGGGCACUUUGUGCGGAAUCUUAAAGGAGGUUCCUGCAGCAUGAGAGGCUUCUCCAGGGUCCAGUUCAUGCAGUGCACCCACACCAGGUUCCUGCACUGUACAGUGGCCAGCAGUGUCCUCCAGCACUUCCAUUUUUGGGUGGUACCGUAGAACAGAGCCUGCAGUGAGACACCUUCCUGUAUCCAGCUUUCCCCAUAUUCAUCCCUAGAUUCAUGAAUCGGCACCCUGGAUUAUGGUUUUCUGGUAAGUAUGAGAGGGUGAAUUUCUCUGUAGAAAAUUCACAGCACGACAGUGACUUCUGUGUCAUCUAGCGAGACACAGUUGUGCUUUUCCCAAUAAGAUCUGGGUCUCACCCCUGGGGAGUGGGGCUAGGGGUCCCUUCUUGGGGUGUUGUACCCAGCCCUAGGAGUAGGGACUGUACCUUGUAUCUGCUAUUCCUACAGGAAUAGGAAUAGCAGAGUUUUCUUUUCUUUGUAUUACCUAUUUCCUUGUUACUCUAAAUCCUGUUAUAAUUAAUACUUUUUUAUAUUAAUAUUAAAUUUUCCUAUAAUUAUAAAAAGCAUUUUCUGUUCAAAUUAUUAUAUGGUCUAUCUUUCCUGAUUGGACCAGACUUAUACAUGCACCAAGGAUCUCAAGCCACUGAAGACCAUCUCCCCAUCCACCGUCACCUAACAAAUCUAGUUGCUUGCUUGUUUUAUUUAUUGCUCAUUUGUUUUAUUUAUUUAUGGUUUAUUAUUUUACUUAUUUAGUUUUACUUAUAUGAUUACAAGAAACUUUAUGCAAUAAAGAAUUACAUUAAGAAGAAUUUGGAAGUAUUAUGUUUUAUAUUAAUGAAAUUAAUUUUGAUUUUUCACAUUUUGUGCAUAUUUGACGCAAAAUUGUAUUAUACCAUUGAGGCAAAUUAUAAUCCCUUUUAAAUGUAUUUUAGCUUACAACACAAAUUGUCUUUCAUUCACUAAUGAGACUGUGUCUGAAGAUUUUAAAUUCCAGUCAUUUUUCAUUCAUCUAACUCUCUUAAUUAUCCUUAUUUUUGAUUUCUUUAAAAUGGAGGGAAAAGACCAUGAUAAUUUUAAAACAAUCUGAAGACAGAAUAUUUCUAACACCCAGAAAGUUUUUGUGUGUGCCUUUCCAAUCAACCCACCUUCUGGAGCAACAGAUGUAUUUCUAGUAUUACAGAUACUUUAACCAUUUUAGAACUUCAAAUCAAUGGGAUUAUUCAGUAGGUACUCUCUUCUGCCUGGUUUCUUUCACUCUUCAUGUUCUGGAGGUUAAUCCGUGUUCAUUACUGUAAUUGUUGAGAAGUUUUCUAUUGUAUGAAUAAAGCACAAUUUAUUUAUUCA